rnacentral:lncRNA from 1 species
UCUUAAAGGCUUGCACUACUGACAGCACUCCAAGAAACAUGGCUGACAAUAUUCCAGACACUAACACUACUGACAGAAACACUAGUUCUGCCCUUCCAUAAAUACUUAUGAUCUAGUCACCUCUGAUGAAACUCAUGAACCACCAGAUGCUAAGAGUAUUCCGAGCUAUACUUCUGAGAGUACUUGCAAUGCUCUCAUCACUGAAAAUGCUCAGACCUGCUCCUCGAAUAAAGAUGAUCUCAGACCAUCUGGUGCCUGAAGACAAUCCUGGAGAGACAGAGACUAACAUGGGAGCUGGAGACAGUAAGCAGAUAUCAGAUGAAAACCAAAGGAAGAGGCACUCAUCAAAUGCAUCAGUGAGAGGACACAAUACAAAAUAUGGAACAAAGCCAUGUUUUUUCAACAUUGAAAAACCUGUGGUUUCUAAUAUUCAAACACGAUCAGCUACAGUGUCAUGGACUCUGAACAAUACUGAAAAAUAUGAUAUUAAUCUUCCUAUGACAUUUGAAUUGGCACUGUCCAGCAGUGGUAAAAACAGAAUCUAUAAACACAUUUAUACUGGUGAUGGCGUUACUGUGGUCCUACAUGAUCUACAGCCUUGCACGGUCUACUUCUUAAGAGUUGCAAUCAUAAGAGAUGGAGAACACAGAAAUGUGUCUGAAGUGGUUAGCUUCACAACACCAGGCUGUGAACCAGACCCUCCUCUUGCACCCACACUGAUUAGCAGAACCAAGAACAGCCUGAACUUACAAUGGAAAGGUUGCAAUGAUAAUGGAUCCAAAAUAAGCCGCUUUCUAUUGGAAUGGGAUGAGGGCAUAGGUGAAGACUUCAAAAGCUGUUACACUGGGCCCAGGAAACAGCACAAGCUCUUUAAACUGAGCCCAUCGACAAAGUAUUCCUUCAGAUUGGCUGCCAAA